rnacentral:rRNA from 1 species
CCUACGGGAGGCAGCAGUGGGGAAUAUUGCACAAUGGGCGAAAGCCUGAUGCAGCGACGCCGCGUGAGGGAAGAAGGAUUUCGGUAUGUAAAGCUCUAUCAGCAGGGAAGAAAAAAGACGGUACCUGACUAAGAAGACCCGGCUAAAUACGUGCCAGCAGCCGCGGUAAUACGUAGGGGGCAAGCGUUAUGCGGAUUUACGGGGUGUAAAGGGAGCGUAGACGGCGCGGCAAGUCUGGAGUGAAAGGCAGGGGCUUAACCCCUGAACUGCUUUGGAAACUGGCAUGCUAGAGUGCUUGAGAGGUAAGUGGAAUUCCUGGUGUAGCGGUGAAAUGCGUAGAUAUCAGGAGGAACACCAGUGGCGAAGGCGGCUUACUGGACCGUAACUGACGCUGAGGCUCGAAAGCGUGGGGAGCAAACAGGAUUAGAUACCCGUGUAGUC